rnacentral:rRNA from 1 species
UACGUAGGGACCAAGCGUUGUUCGGAUUUACUGGGCGUAAAGGGCGCGUAGGCGGCCAGCGCAAGUCAGUUGUGAAAUCUCCGGGCUUAACUCGGAAAGGUCAACUGAUACUGCGCGACUAGAGUGCAGAAGGGGCAACUGGAAUUCUCGGUGUAGCGGUGAAAUGCGUAGAUAUCGAGAGGAACACCUGCGGCGAAGGCGGGUUGCUGGGCUGACACUGACGCUGAGGCGCGAAGCCAGGGGAGCGAACGGG